AGUGAACGCUGGCGGUAGGCCUAACACAUGCAAGUCGAACGGCAGCACAGUAAGAGCUUGCUCUUACGGGUGGCGAGUGGCGGACGGGUGAGGAAUACAUCGGAAUCUACUUUUUCGUGGGGGAUAACGUAGGGAAACUUACGCUAAUACCGCAUACGACCUACGGGUGAAAGCAGGGGAUCUUCGGACCUUGCGCGAUUGAAUGAGCCGAUGUCGGAUUAGCUAGUUGGCGGGGUAAAGGCCCACCAAGGCGACGAUCCGUAGCUGGUCUGAGAGGAUGAUCAGCCACACUGGACGUGAGCGACGCUCCGGACUCGUACUGGAGCCACCAUGGGGGAAUAUUGGACAAGGAGUGCAUGCCUGUGCCAUCCAUUGCGCGUGAGUGAAGAAGGCCUGCUGGUUCUAAAGCCCUUUUGUUGGGAAAGAAAAGCAGCAGGUUAAUCCCCCGCUGUUCUGACGGUACCCAAAGAGUAAGCACCGACUAGCUUCUUG
rnacentral:rRNA from 1 species